rnacentral:rRNA from 1 species
AAUAGGUAUGCUUAGGGAGGAGCUUGCGUCACAUUAGUUAGAAGGUGGGGUAAAGGCUUACCAAGACUAUGAUGUGUAGCCGGGCUGAGAGGUUGAACGGCCACAUUGGGACUGAGACACGGCCCAAACUCCUACGGGAGGCAGCAGUAGGGAAUUUUCGGCAAUGGAGGAAACUCUGACCGAGCAACGCCGCGUGAACGAUGAAGUAUUUCGGUACGUAAAGUUCUUUUAUUAGGGAAGAAUAAAUGAUGGAAAAAUCAUUCUGACGGUACCUAAUGAAUAAGCCCCGGCUAACUAUGUGCCAGCAGCCGCGGUAAUACAUAGGGGGCAAGCGUUAUCCGGAAUUAUUGGGCGUAAAGGGUGCGUAGGCGGUUAAAUAAGUUUAUGGUCUAAGUACAAUGCUUAACAUUGUGAUGCUAUAAAAACUGUUUAACUAGAGUAAGAUAGAGGCAAGUGGAAUUCCAUGUGUAGUGGUAAAAUGCGUAAAUAUAUGGAGGAACACCAGUAGCGAAGGCGGCUUGCUGGGUCUUUACUGACGCUGAGGCACGAAAGCGUGGGGAGCAAACAGGAUUAGAUACCCUGGUAGUCCACGCCGUAAACGAUGAGUACUAAAUGUUGGGUAAAACCAGUGUUGAAGUUAACACAUUAAGUACUCCGCCUGAGUAGUACGUACGCAAGUAUGAAACUUAAAGGAAUUGACGGGACUCCGCACAAGCGGUGGAUCAUGUUGUUUAAUUCGAAGGUACCCGAAAAACCUCACCAGGUCUUGACAUGCUUCUGCAAAGCUGUAGAAACACAGUGGAGGUUAUCAGUUGCACAGGUGGUGCAUGGUUGUCGUCAGCUCGUGUCGUGAGAUGUUGGGUUAAGUCCCGCAACGAGCGCAACCCUUAUUGUUAGUUGCCAGCACGUAAUGGUGGGGACUUUAGCAAGACUGCCAGUGAUAAAUUGGAGGAAGGUGGGGACGACGUCAAAUCAUCAUGCCCCUUAUGACCUGGGCUACAAACGUGAUACAAUGGCUGUUACAAAGGGUAGCUGAAACGUAAGUUUUUGGCGAAUCUCAAAAAAACAGUCUCAGUUCGGAUUGAAGUCUGCAACUCGACUUCAUGAAGUUGGAAUCGCUAGUAAUCGCG